UACGCAGGCGGUUUGUUAAGCGAGAUGUGAAAGCCCCGGGCUCAACCUGGGAACUGCAUUUCGAACUGGCAAACUAGAGUGUGAUAGAGGGUGGUAGAAUUUCAGGUGUAGCGGUGAAAUGCGUAGAGAUCUGAAGGAAUACCGAUGGCGAAGGCAGCCACCUGGGUCAACACUGACGCUCAUGUACGAAAGCGUGGGGAGCAAACGGGAUUAGAUACCCCGGUAGUCCACGCCGUAAACGAUGUCUACUAGAAGCUCGGAACCUCGGUUCUGUUUUUCAAAGCUAACGCAUUAAGUAGACCGCCUGGGGAGUACGGCCGCAAGGUUAAAACUCAAAUGAAUUGACGGGGGCCCGCACAAGCGGUGGAGCAUGUGGUUUAAUUCGAUGCAACGCGAAGAACCUUACCUACACUUGACAUACAGAGAACUUUCUAGAGAUAGAUUGGUGCCUUCGGGAACUCUGAUACAGGUGCUGCAUGGCUGUCGUCAGCUCGUGUUGUGAGAUGUUGGGUUAAGUCCCGCAACGAGCGCAACCUCUAUCCUUAGUUGCUAGCAGGUAAUGCUGAGAACUCUAAGGAGACUGCCGGUGAUAAACCGGAGGAAGGUGGGGACGACGUCAAGUCAUCAUGGCCCUUACGUGUAGGGCUACACACGUGCUACAAUGGCGCAUACAGAGUGCUGCGAACCUGC
rnacentral:rRNA from 1 species